rnacentral:snoRNA from 1 species
GCCGAUGAUGAUAAAAGGUCUCUGACCCGUGAUGAGCCCUAUGAGUCCUGAGG